UAACUUUUCUCCUGGCAACUACCCAGCCUCAGUAUAAUUAACUUUUUUCUUUCUUUUUUUCUUCCUCUUUUACCAACCACCAAGCAAUGACAUUCUCUGAUGAAUGAGUUGCCUGUGUCUGUCUUGCUGGCAGGUAUUUCACAAAAAAGACAUGCCAUUACUGGAAGAGUGUAAGGCAGAUGUGGAAAACUGGAAGCCCGUGGGUGGAUUUACCACAAGCAAUAUGAUUUUAAAGGUUGAGCUUGCAUUGACAAAAUCAAGAGAUUUCCCAGGAAAAUCCAUAUCUCUGCCUUUUCUUGAAAAUUAGAAGACGCAGAGAUGGUGGGCCUGGGUUCCCAUCUGGCAACAGUAGACUGGGCCUGCCCCCCUGGUUUGCCAGGGCCUUGUACUUCAUCUUAUCUCUUACCAAUUACCACUGUGUAGCUCUGAUAUUUUUCCUAUAAUAGAGAAAUAUUUCCCUGUAUCCGAAUGUUAUGGAUUGAAAAUGGCUGCAAAUUCUAAUUCAUUCCUCUGUCAGGAAGUGAAGUCUGUUUUCUCUCCUCCUGAAUAAGGGCUGGCCUGUGACUUGUUUUGUCUGACGGAAUGUGGGAGAAGUGAGGCUGUCUAACUUCUGAACCCUAAAGCCUCUGCUUUCACAUACUUGGAACACUCUGUCUUGGAACCCAGCCAUCAUGCUGGGUGAAACCCAAGCCACGUACAGAGGCCACCCGGAAAGAACUGGAGAACUCCAUUCUACAACCCCACGUGAGCUCCCGGCCAGCAGCCAACCCAUCUGUCAGCCAGAACCAUCAAAGGACCAAAGAGGUUAAAAUCUAUCUCAGCAUAGAACCAAGAUAGAUCAAGAUCAAGAUGCAGAGGUGCCUUCAAGCCAAUGUUCUCAGAGUACCUGUGUAAACUCCCAAAGCUUAGCGUCAACCACAGAGAAGAGAGGAAUGGGACAAUCCUGAGUCUGACUGACUUCACUGGAUAUAGAAGGUCUUAUGGAAUUGCAUUGAGGAAGAAUAAUAGAAUAGGAGGAAAAUGAAGAGAAGAAGGUAGAUGGGGAUCCUCAAAGCAUUUUGCACACAUUCAAUAAAGGAAAGUGGCAUUAAAACAGCCCCCUCC